GUAAUUUCACUAAGUAAAUCUAAACUUAUUUUAAUGCUUAGUUAAAUGGUAGAUAUUAUAUGUUAACAUAUUGAAUUAUUCAAUAUACAGUAAUUAAUAUUAAAUGUUGAAUAAAUCGAUUUGGUUGUGCAUGAACUAAUCGGUUAAUGGCGUGCCAGCAGCUGCGGUUAUACGAGUGAUAUUAUAAGCGUGUUUUAAAUGAGUUGGNNCAGUAGGUUGGUUUUAAUGAGAAGUGGGUAAAUUUGUGGGUGAAAUUUAAAAAUUUAUGAAAUUUGUGGAUUUUAGUUAAUUAAAAUUAGUUAGAGAGACUAGGAUUAGAUACCCUAUUAUUGCUAAUGUGAUGAAGUUGAGAUAGUAGUUGGUGAUCUUGAAAUCUGAGGGUUUUGGCGGUUUUUUUAUUUUAUUAGAGGAAUUUGUUCUGUAAUCGAUAUUCCUCGUUUAAUUUAACUUGAUUUAAUGUUUGUAUACCGCUGUUGAUGUUGUCUUUAUGAUGGGAUAAUUGUUAUUAUAAAUUGAGAGUUCAAGUCAAGGUGCAGUUAAUAAUUAAGGUUGAAAUGAGUUACUAUGUUGUAAUGUGGAAACUCAAUUGAAAUUUGAGUUGAGAUUGGAUUUAAUAGUAAGGAAGUAUUAGAUAGGUUUCUUGAAUUAAAUUUAAAAGGAUGUACAUAUCGCCCGGUCGCUCUCAAAUGGUGAAUGAGAUAAGUCGUAACAAAGUGGAUAUACUGGAAAGUGUAUCUAGAUGA
rnacentral:ncRNA from 1 species